UACGUAGGGUGCGAGCGUUGUCCGGAAUUAUUGGGCGUAAAGAGCUCGUAGGCGGCUUGUUGCGUCUGCCGUGAAAAUUCACAGCUUAACCCUGGAGAGGCGGCGGAGACCACCGGGCUUGAGUCCGGUAGGGGCAGAGGGAAUUCCCGGUGGAGCGGUGAAAUGCGUAGAGAUCGGGAAGAACGCCAAGGGCGAAGGCACUCUGCUAGGCCUGAGUUCGCGACUGACACUCAGGGACGAGAGCCAGGGGAGCGAAUGGG
rnacentral:rRNA from 1 species